rnacentral:tRNA from 1 species
UAGAAUACAUGCCUGUCACGCAUGGGGUCACGGGUUCGAGUCCCGUACGCACCGCAA